UACGAAGGGGGCUAGCGUUGCUCGGAAUCACUGGGCGUAAAGGGUGCGUAGGCGGGUCUUUAAGUCAGGGGUGAAAUCCUGGAGCUCAACUCCAGAACUGCCUUUGAUACUGGCGAUCUCGAGUCCGGGAGAGGUGAGUGGAACUGCGAGUGUAGAGGUGAAAUUCGUAGAUAUUCGCAAGAACACCAGUGGCGAAGGCGGCUCACUGGCCCGGUACUGACGCUGAGGUGCGAAAGCGUGGGGAGCAAAAAGG
rnacentral:rRNA from 1 species